GAUCCCUACGGGAGGCAGCAGUAGGGAAUCUUCCACAAUGGACGAAAGUCUGAUGCAGCAACGCCGCGUGAAGGAAGACGGUUUUCGGAUUGUAAACUUCUAUCAAUAGGGAAGAAAGAAAUGACGGUACCUAAAUAAGAAGCCCCGGCUAACUACGUGCCAGCAGCCGCGGUAAUACGUAGGGGGCAAGCGUUAUCCGGAAUUACUGGGUGUAAAGGGAGAGUAGGCGGCAAGGUAAGCGAUAUGUGAAAGCCUUAGGCUUAACCAAAGGAUUGCAUAACGAACUAUCUAGCUAGAGUACAGGA
rnacentral:rRNA from 1 species